rnacentral:SRP_RNA from 1 species
GCCAGGCAUGGUGAUGUGCAUCUGUAGUCCCAGAUACUUGGGAGGCUGAGGCAGGAGGAUUGUUUGAGCCCAGGACUUCAAGGCUGCAGUGAGCUGUGACUGAGCCACUGCACUCCAGCCUGGGUGACAGAGCAAGACCCUGUCUCUA